AUUGAACGCUGGCGGCAUGCUUUACACAUGCAAGUCGAACGGUAACAGGCCGCAAGGUGCUGUCGAGUGGCGAACGGGUGAGUAAUGCAUCGGAACGUGCCCAGUCGUGGGGGAUAACUACUCGAAAGAGUAGCUAAUACCUCAUACGAUCUAAGGUUGAAAGCGGGGGACCGUAAGGCCUCGCGCGAUUGGAGCGGCCGCUUUCAGAUUAGGUAGUUGGUGGGGUAAAGGCUCACCAAGCCAACGAUUUGUAGCUGGUCUGAGAGGACGACCAGCCACACUGGGACUGAGACACGGCCCAGACUCCUACGGGAGGCAGCAGUGGGGAAUUUUGGACAAUGGGCGCAAGCCUGAUCCAGCAAUGCCACGUGCAGGAAGAAGGCCUUCGGGUUGUAAACUGCUUUUGUACGGAACGAAACGGCUCUGGUUAAUACCCGGGGCUAAUGACGGUACCGUAAGAAUAAGCACCGGCUAACUACGUG
rnacentral:rRNA from 1 species